rnacentral:snRNA from 1 species
AUUGCUUCUCGGCCUUUUGGGUAAGAUCAAGUAUA